CACGUAGGGUGCAAGCGUUGUCCGGAAUUAUUGGGCGUAAAGGGCUCGUAGGCGGUCCGUCACGUCGGGAGUGAAAACUCGGGGCUCAACCCCGAGCCUGCUUUCGAUACGGGCGGACUAGAGGUAGGUAGGGGAGAACGGAAUUCCUGGUGUAGCGGUGAAAUGCGCAGAUAUCAGGAGGAACACCGGUGGCGAAGGCGGUUCUCUGGGCCUUACCUGACGCUGAGGAGCGAAAGCGUGGGGAGCGAACAGG
rnacentral:rRNA from 1 species